rnacentral:lncRNA from 1 species
GCAUCACCAUGCGCAAGACGGCGGGCAAGCCCAAGGUGGCGGCGUCCAGCAGCCCGUGGUACGGCUCCGACCGCGUGCUCUACCUCGGCCCGCUCUCCGGCGACCCCCCGAGCUACCUCACCGGCGAGUUCCCCGGCGACUACGGCUGGGACACCGCGGGCCUCUCCGCCGACCCCGAGACCUUCGCCAAGAACCGGGAGCUGGAGGUGAUCCACUGCCGCUGGGCCAUGCUCGGCGCGCUCGGCUGCGUCUUCCCGGAGCUGCUCGCCCGCAACGGCGUCAAGUUCGGCGAGGCCGUGUGGUUCAAGGCCGGCUCCCAGAUCUUCAGCGAGGGCGGCCUCGACUACCUCGGCAACCCCAGCCUGGUGCACGCGCAGAGCAUCCUCGCCAUCUGGGCCUGCCAGGUGGUGCUCAUGGGCGCCGUGGAGGGCUACCGCGUCGCCGGCGGCCCGCUCGGCGAGAUCGUGGACCCGCUCUACCCCGGCGGCAGCUUCGACCCCCUGGGCCUCGCCGAGGACCCCGAGGCGUUCGCGGAGCUCAAGGUGAAGGAGAUCAAGAACGGCCGCCUCGCCAUGUUCUCCAUGUUCGGCUUCUUCGUGCAGGCCAUCGUCACCGGCAAGGGGCCCCUGGAGAACCUCGCCGACCACCUCGCCGACCCCGUCAACAACAACGCCUGGGCCUUCGCCACCAACUUCGUCCCCGGCAAGUGAGCGCGGUCAGCUCAACCUCUAGGCCGACAACUUCAUGGCUGAUGGAUGCUGCUGCAUGUGUGUCGUCGUCGAUCUCUGCUUCUUCCCGUUGUGAGAUUGAGUAGUCCGGACUGAUAGAUGUUGCAUGUGAGGGCGAGUCGAGAUGAGGAGUUGGUGUGUGUACACUAAGAUGGUGUUUGUGUAAUAUCUGGCUAUUUUCUCAGAUUAAUCAAGGCAUCUCUGUUCUUCUGCUUAACUUCUUGGUUUCUCUGAACUUCUGAAUGUCAAAUACAGAAGUUCUCCGAAUAUUUUUCUGGAAGUCCAACCAGCUAAAGUAUUCAAAUUCAUA